rnacentral:rRNA from 1 species
UGGGGAAUUUUGGACAAUGGGCGAAAGCCUGAUCCAGCAAUGCCGCGUGUGUGAAGAAGGCCUUCGGGUUGUAAAGCACUUUUGUCCGGAAAGAAAUCCUUGGCUCUAAUACAGUCGGGGGAUGACGGUACCGGAAGAAUAAGCACCGGCUAACUACGUGCCAGCAGCCGCGGUAAUACGUAGGGUGCAAGCGUUAAUCGGAAUUACUGGGCGUAAAGCGUGCGCAGGCGGUUUGCUAAGACCGAUGUGAAAUCCCCGGGCUCAACCUGGGAACUGCAUUGGUGACUGGCAGGCUAGAGUAUGGCAGAGGGGGGUAGAAUUCCACGUGUAGCAGUGAAAUGCGUAGAGAUGUGGAGGAAUACCGAUGGCGAAGGCAGCCCCCUGGGCCAAUACUGACGCUCAUGCACGAAAGUGUGGGGAGCAAACAGGAUUAGAUACCCUGGUAGUCCACGCCCUAAACGAUGUCAGCUAGUUGUUGGGGAUUCAUUUCCUUAGUAACGUAGCUAACGCGUGAAGUUGACCGCCUGGGGAGUACGGUCGCAAGAUUAAAACUCAAAGGAAUUGAC